rnacentral:rRNA from 1 species
GCGAAAACUUUACAAUGCUGGCAACAGCGAUAAGGGAACCUCGAGUGCCAGGUUACAAAUCUGGCUGUCGAGAUGCCUAAAAAGCAUUUCAUAGCAAGGGCCGGGCAAGACCGGUGCCAGCCGCCGCGGUAACACCGGCGGCUCGAGUGGUAACCGUUAUUAUUGGGUCUAAAGGGUCUGUAGCCGGCCGGAUAAAUCUCUUGAGAAAUCUGGCAGCUUAACUGUCAGGCUUUCAGGAGAUACUGUCUGGCUCGAGGCCGGGAGGGGUGAGAGGUACUUCAGGGGUAGGGGUGAAAUCUUGUAAUCCUUGAAGGACCACCAGUGGCGAAGGCGUCUCACCAGAACGGACCUGACGGCAAGGGACGAAAGCUAGGGGCACGAACC